rnacentral:rRNA from 1 species
AGUGAACGCUGGCGGCAGGCCUAACACAUGCAAGUCGAGCGGCAGCGGGUCCUUCGGGAUGCCGGCGAGCGGCGGACGGGUGAGGAAUACAUCGGAAUCUGCCCUGUCGUGGGGGAUAACCUAGGGAAACUUAGGCUAAUACCGCAUACGACCUACGGGUGAAAGCGGGGGAUCGCAAGACCUCGCGCGACAGGAUGAGCCGAUGUCCGAUUAGCUAGUUGGCGGGGUAAAGGCCCACCAAGGCGACGAUCGGUAGCUGGUCUGAGAGGAUGAUCAGCCACACUGGGACUGAGACACGGACCAGACUCCUACGGGAGGCAGCAGUGGGGAAUAUUGGACAAUGGGCGCAAGCCUGAUCCAGCCAUGCCGCGUGGGUGAAGAAGGCCUUCGGGUUGUAAAGCCCUUUUGUCCGGGAAGAAAUCGUCUGGGCUAAUACCCCGGGCGGAUGACGGUACCGGAAGAAUAAGCACCGGCUAACUUCGUG